GGAUAACGGCUGGAAACGGUCGCUAAUACCGCAUAACAUACUGGGAGGACAUCCUGCUGGUAUCAAAGAUUUAUCGCUCGAAGAUGGGCUCGCGUCCGAUUAGGUAGUUGGUGAGGUAACGGCUCACCAAGCCGACGAUCGGUAGCCGACUGAGAGGUUGAACGGCCACAUUGGGACUGAGACACGGCCCAGACUCCUACGGGAGGCAGCAGUGGGGGAUAUUGCACAAUGGGGGAAACCCUGAUGCAGCGACGCCGCGUGUGGGAAGACGGUCCUCUGGAUUGUAAACCACUGUCCCCAGGGACGAAAAUGACGGUACCUGGGGAGGAAGCUCCGGCUAACUACGUGCCAGCAGCCGCGGUAAUACGUAGGGAGCGAGCGUUGUCCGGAAUUACUGGGUGUAAAGGGAGCGUAGGCGGGGAUGCAAGUUGGGUGUCAAAACUACCGGCUCAACUGGUAGUCGCACUCAAAACUGCAGCUCUUGAGUGAAGUAGAGGCAGGCGGAAUUCCUAGUGUAGCGGUGAAAUGCGUAGAUAUUAGGAGGAACACCAGUGGCGAAGGCGGCCUGCUGGGCUUUUACUGACGCUGAGGCUCGAAAGUGUGGGGAGCAAACAGGAUUAGAUACCCUGGUAGUCCACACCGUAAACGAUGAUUACUAGGUGUGGGGGGUCUGACCCCUUCCGUGCCGGAG
rnacentral:rRNA from 1 species